UUUUUCCUGCCAAAUUUAAGA
ensembl:piRNA 21ur-10204 ncRNA